UGCGUAGGCGGGGCAAUUAGUCAGUGGUGAAAUGCUGCGGCUUAACCGUAGAACUGCCAUUGAUACUGUUGCCCUUGAGUAUAGUUGAGGUGGGCGGAAUGUGUAAUGUAGCGGUGAAAUGCAUAGAGAUUACACAGAACACCAAUUGCGAAGGCAGCUCACUAAGCUAUAACUGACGCUGAGGCACGAAAGCGUGGGGAGCGAACAGGAUUAGAUACCCUGGUAGUCC
rnacentral:rRNA from 1 species